UACGUAGGGUGCGAGCGUUGUCCGGAAUUAUUGGGCGUAAAGGGCUCGUAGGCGGCUUGUCGCGUCGGAUGUGAAAGCCCGGGGCUUAACUCCGGGUCUGCAUUCGAUACGGGCAGGCUAGAGUUCGGUAGGGGAGAUCGGAAUUCCUGGUGUAGCGGUGAAAUGCGCAGAUAUCAGGAGGAACACCGGUGGCGAAGGCGGAUCUCUGGGCCGAUACUGACGCUGAGGAGCGAAAGCGUGGGGAGCGAACAGG
rnacentral:rRNA from 1 species